GGUUGGUUUGUGAAACAUCAGAGAAAAAUAUAGAUAUUAUGCCAUUAUACAUGGAGAAUUGUUGGGCGAAUAUUAGAAAAAUUCAAAACAUUCAGUCGAAUGAUACCGAUCCGCGUCAUCACUAAAACUGCACUGACUUUUGCCAAUUCCACAAUAUUCAAAACCAAAUACUUGAGUUUCUUAUUUUCAUUUGAAUGAAUGUAAUAAAUUAAUAAUGUAAUAAAUUUAGUGCUGUAUAAAUUCUUGUAUAGUUUCCUUAUUUAAACUUUAAAG
rnacentral:lncRNA from 1 species